AACGAACGCUGGCGGCGUGCCUAACACAUGCAAGUCGAACGUGAUUAGAGAGCUUGCUCUCUAUGAAAGUGGCGCACGGGUGAGUAACGCGUAGAUAAUCUACCUGAUGAUCCGGGAUAACACUUCGAAAGGGGUGCUAAUACCAGAUAAGCCCACGGGGUCUUUGGACUCUGCGGGAAAAGGAGGGGACUUUCGGGCCUUCCGUCAUCAGAUGAGUCUGCGUACCAUUAGCUAGUUGGUAGGGUGAAGGCCUACCAAGGCGACGAUGGUUAGCUGGUCUGAGAGGAUGAUCAGCCACACUGGAACUGAGACAUGGUCCAGACUCCUACGGGAGGCAGCAGUGGGGAAUUGUGCGCAAUGGGGGAAACCCUGACGCAGCGACGCCGCGUGAGUGAUGAAGGCCCUUGGGUCGUAAAGCUCUGACAGAGGGAAAGAAGUGUAUUGUGGCUAAUAUCCAUGAUGCUUGACGGUACCCUCAAAGGAAGCACCGGCUAACCCCGUGCCAGCAGCAGCCGCCG
rnacentral:rRNA from 1 species